AACUGCUGCAUUUACGGUCCUGGCACGAAACUGACAGAAUGAUAAAGACAACAUCCUCCAACUGUGCACACUGACUACAGAUCUGAAACUUGCAACAUGCUCCAUUUCCAUUAAUGUCAGAAGUCUCCUUGAAAUUCACAACGUUAAAUGAUGCUAUAACUAGAAAGCUUAUGUUCCUCUUUGAGCGCCCAGAAUAGAUUGACUAGGUUUAGUCAAAUUCUAUAAGCUGAAUUUGAAAAUCAGAAGUGAUGCAUUUCUUUUUGAGGAAUGUCAACACACCGGCACUCCAGUUAUCCUGCAGAAUGGUUUCAAAUUAUGUCAAUCGGAUGCGCCACCUCUCUGAGCUGAAAGAGGAUGAUGAAGCCUGCCGCAAGGCUCUCAGCUCCGGAACCUUCCUGCUCUUUCAUGAUCUCUUGCCACUUGUGCAGAAGAUUGAGAACAAGUACAUGACACCAUUCGUGACAGCAGCAGAGCUUAAGAAGCUAGACCUGGCAGAAAAGUGGACGGAGGAAUCAGUGCUAAUUGGCUGCACAGAGAGUCUUGUGCCACAGUUUGCACUUGAUAUUGGAAAAUCUGAACAGGCCCGGGCAGAAUUGCUUCUGAAGGGAAAGUUUCUUGCAUUUCAGAAAGCUUAUACCAUCAUAGACAGAAAUGAUAUAUCCCUUAUAUCUCAGGCACAGGCUCUUCUCCGCUGGCACAGCACACACCUCUACUGCAGCAGAACUGGAAAACCGACACAAAAAAAUGCAUCCGGCAGCAAACGAAUCUGUGGCAAUGAUGAAAUAAUCUAUUACCCACAGAUGUCUCCUGUGGUUAUCAUGUUGGUAUCUGAUGGAGCACGUUGCCUGCUGGCACGACAGAAACAAUUUCCUCCCGGAAUGUACAGUGCACUGGCUGGAUUCUGCAACAUUGGUAAUCAGCUCCUUACUGAUUAUAUGGAGUGCAAGAUUACAGACAGAACUCAGCAUUUGCAGUGUAAUGUGCCUGAGAGUCUGUGGAAGACUCCGUACGGCGGGAGGUUGCGGAGGAGGUUGGUUUGCAGGUGACAUCGCUGGUCUAUUCAGCAUCUCAACACUGGCCCUUUCCCAGCAGCUCCCUAAUGAUUGGAUACCAUGCAAUGGUGCAGCCAAAGCAGAACAAGAUUCAGUUCGACCACUCUGAGCUUCAGGAUGCCCGCUGGUUUGAUGCUACCGAAGUGGCAGAAGCUUUAAAGCGCAAGAUGCCUCGCAAGGAAGAAAUGAUUUCUUUCUGGAUCCCACCACCCUGGGCUUUAGCACAUCAUCUAAUCAAAGAAUGGACUCAAAAGCAAUAGCUGUCUUGAAAUCCUGCAGUGACUCAUUUGGUGGGAUUGGAUAGUGGGUGGAUAUUAUUUCUUUGCAUCACUUUGGUAUUUUAUGUGGGCCAGCCACAAAGAAAAAAUAGAAUGCGUCAGGAUAUUUUCCACAUUGAAGACCUUUAUAAUGGUAGAUAUCAUUUUUUGUGUGUCUCCUUCAUAGCACUGGAGAAGGGAAGAAGACAAGUGAUUGUACAUUUCUAAUAGUAAAUAAUAAUACUGUGGUAUUUAACUUGUUUCUGCUUUAAACAUUUGAUCCACAAAGUCCAAUUUGAAUACAUUCAAACCCGAUUUUCAGUAUUAAAAAAAACUUUCCAACCCUU